AUACGUAGGGGGCGAGCGUUGUCCGGAAUGAUCGGGCGUAAAGGGCGCGUAGGUGGCGCGGUAAGUCUGGAGUGAAAGUCCUGCUUUCAAGGUGGGAAUUGCUUUGGAUACUGCCGCGCUUGAGUGCAGGAGAGGUUAUCGGAAUUCCCGGUGUAGCGGUGAAAUGCGUAGAGAUCGGGAGGAACACCAGUGGCGAAGGCGGGUAACUGGACUGCAACUGACGCUGAGGCGCGAAAGUGUGGGGAGCGAACAGGAUUAGAUACCCUGGUAGUCCACGCGGUAAACGAUGAAUGCUAGGUGUUGCGAGUAUCGACCCCUGCAGUGCCGGAGUAAACACAUUAAGCAUUCCGCCUGGGGAGUACGGCCGCAAGGUUGAAACUCAAAGGAAUUGACGGGG
rnacentral:rRNA from 1 species